UAGUUGAGUAUAGGUAACAUUGCAGCAAAUACAUAAACUUUAUGUGAAUCGAUAAUAUAAGUGUGUGAAGAAAGCUGCAUGUGAAUAAUAAUAAUAAUUAGUGUCACCAAUGCAAAUAAUAAUAAUAUCAUUUAUGACUUUAUUAUUAUAAGAAUAAUAAUAACAUUUAUUAUUUUGUUAAAUAUUUGAUUGGGCCUCAAUAAACGUAAUUUAUUUUCUUCUCGAAACUAACGUUAUAUUGACCCGUUAUAUAUGUUUACUUAUUUAAAUAGGACCGUUGUAAUUGAUCCGUAAUUGAAAAGGCUGAAUAAACAUCGAACGAACACAAAUUACUUUAAAAAUAAGACCGCUGUAAUAGACCUGUUAGUAAAAAGAUUAAUAAACAUCGAACGAAUACAAAUUACUUAAAAAAUAAGACCGUUGUAAAUGAAAAUGAGCCGUUGGGCGCUCCUCUAUAUAAGAAGAGCUCUUCUUGCCUUCUUUCACCAUAAACCUCUCAUCCUCUCAAUUAUUCUCACAGACUCUUUGCGAAGAGACAAGUAAAAUAAAAGACCAACAAGAGUUAAAGACUCUGUCGGAGAAAGAAGACUCUGUAGGAGAAAGACAUAAUGGCGACAAGAUUCAAACAAACAUGCCUGAUCAAGUCGGAGGUGGCGGAUGAUGUGAAGAAUAGUCGUGCGCUCGGUGACAUCGGAGAGAGGAAGCCAAAAUCCAACCGACUCCAACGGUCAGAUCUGUCUUUUUUUUUUAAUUUUAUGUGUGUUUUUCCAUCAACAUUAACAUUGUCGUGUAUGAAUCGAAAACAAAUCGUGAUGAUAUGUAUUUUUUUUGGAAGUCUGUGAAACAGGAGGCCGCGCUUAUGGUUUAAAGAUGCUGCAUAUGGGAAGAAUCGCCGGAGCUGACCAGAACCGAGAGAGAGAGAGGGAGGAAGCCACACUCCCACCGACUCCAACGGGAACACGAGGUCAUCGAGAUCCAUUCACAAUCACCAACCUCCUCCUUUAGAUUAUAUUCCAGACUCACAAUUUUACAAGGUGGAAGCUCCUUUAAGUCUUGUGGUUAGUAUUAUAUCUGAGAACGCUUAGAACCAAUGUGUAGAACGUCGCUUGCUUUCACCUUUAGCUCGAAGUUCUGCUAAUAAUAAAUGAAUGGAGAAGUCUUGUGUGUUUAGUUUCCUGUUGAAUCGAUCUAGAUGUGUGUUUUAACUGUACAUGAAUUAUGCAUCUGUACAGUUAUAACAUCUGUCCUGGUUCUUGAAAAGAAAGAGAUCAAGUCCUUUUUGUCCUGAAACCAUUAAGCUUAGUUACAUGGUUUUGAGUUUGAUCCGCAAAACAUGUUCUAAUCCAAAUUGAUAUUAUAAUAAGUGUAUAUAGUAGUUUAUAGUA